AGGAGUUUAAUCCAGAAAGAAAAAAUUGCUGUUGAAAAACUCCAGAGGUAUGAAGAUGACUUAUUUAAGAAAAAAAUGAUUCUAGAGGUAUUAAACAGUAGAAGAUGACUUAUUUAAGGAAGAAAUGAUUCUAGAGGUAUUAAACAGUAGAGGGUGACUUAUUUAAGGAAGAAAUGAUUCUAGAGGUAUUAAACAGUAGAGGGUGACUUAUUUAAGGAAGAAAUGAUUCUAGAGGUAUUAAACAGUAGAAGAUGACUUAUUUAAGGAAGAAAUGAUUCUAGAGGUAUUAAACAGUAGAAGGUGACUUAUUUAAGGAAGAAAUGAUUCUAGAGGUAUUAAACAGUAGAAGAUGACUUAUUUAAGGAAGAAAUGAUUCUAGAGGUAUUAAACAGUAGAAGAUGACUUAUUUAAGGAAGAAAUGAUUCUAGAGGUAUUAAACAGUAGAAGGUGACUUAUUUAAGGAAGAAAUGAUUCUAGAGGUAUUAAACAGUAGAGGGUGACUUAUUUAAGAAAGAAAUGAUUCUAGAGGUAUUAAACAGUAGAAGAUGACUUAUUUAAGGAAGAAAUGAUUCUAGAGGUAUUAAACAGUAGAAGAUGACUUAUUUAAGGAAGAAAUGAUUCUAGAGGUAUUAAACAGUAGAAGAUGACUUAUUUAAGAAAGAAAUGAUUCUAGAGGUAUUAAACAG